UGGGGGAGAAGACCAUAGCUCAGUGGCAGAGCAUCUGUUUUGCAUGCAGAAGGUGCCAGGUUCAAUCCCUGGUGUCUCAA